rnacentral:rRNA from 1 species
UGGGGAAUUUUGGACAAUGGGCGAAAGCCUGAUCCAGCAAUGCCGCGUGUGUGAAGAAGGCCUUCGGGUUGUAAAGCACUUUUGUCCGGAAAGAAAUCCUUGGCUCUAAUACAGUCGGGGGAUGACGGUACCGGAAGAAUAAGCACCGGCUAACUACGUGCCAGCAGCCGCGGUAAUACGUAGGGUGCAAGCGUUAAUCGGAAUUACUGGGCGUAAAGCGUGCGCAGGCGGUUUGCUAAGACCGAUGUGAAAUCCCGGGCUCAACCUGGGAACUGCAUUGGUGACUGGCAGGCUAGAGUAUGGCAGAGGGGGGUAGAAUUCCACGUGUAGCAGUGAAAUGCGUAGAGAUGUGGAGGAAUACCGAUGGCGAAGGCAGCCCCCUGGGCCAAUACUGACGCUCAUGCACGAAAGCGUGGGGAGCAAACAGGAUUAGAUACCCUGGUAGUCCACGCCCUAAACGAUGUCAACUAGUUGUUGGGGAUUCAUUUCCUUAGUAACGUAGCUAACGCGUGAAGUUGACCGCCUGGGGAAUACGG